UUAAAGAAGCCAAAAAUGGUAAAAGAUUACGACUGAUGAAAGUUAUUAUAGAACUGAAACUGAAGACACGGUUUCUUACUUUUCUUCUUGGCCUUACUUCCACCCCACCUCCAGCCUCAUUUUGAGCGUUUAGGAAGGAGCACGCUCUGCUUCCAGACCUUAAAAGGCUGAGAUAGCAAUUGGAGAUUACUCCUAGGGUGAAGAAGAACAGAUAUCAGCCCAAUCUGUAGGUGUAACACCAAGCAGAACCUGACCUGAAAAUGUUGUUGAAAAAUGUCUCCGGUUCCAGAAGAAAUUCUACUGAACGCAUCAAUCAUGCUGUUGGAGUUUGAGUUAUCUGGAACAAAGAACUUUAAACCUCCUGAAAUACAUGAUUAGGAUGUUAACUAUUAAAAUGUAUAAAAUAAAACAAAAAAUAACAUGUUAGGUCUUUUUCAACAACCUUUCUUAUGGGGAAGGAGUUGGGCUUGACUUGCUUUGCAUAGUAUCCUACCGGCCACAUGGUAAGCAGCAGAGAUUUUCAACCACAGAUGAACCCAGGGCAAUGGAAUGAAUGGUUGAACCACUGCUGAGCACGAUGAGAGAACAGUUCAGGAAGACUAUUUUGCUCCUGAUUAUAGACAGCAAGUGAAGAAGCCAGGAGAGACUAAAAUUUUAACCAUUAUCUGAGAGUGCUGGGUUUUCAGAAGUGGUUUUCUGGAAGGCUGUGAGCUUCCUGCAUGACUGAGGUAUGGUUUUCUAUUCAUGGUGACAUGGAAAAUACACACACAGUGGAUAUGUACACUCUUUGCAAACUCACCAUUUCUUACCUCAGCAAGGGUUGUGUACCAGUGAGCAAAAUAUGGCCAGACAAGAGAUUCUCUUACACGUCAGAGUUUUGGGAAAGGGUGUUGGUUGGAAAAAAGUUGCAAUUAGUAGCAAAAAAUCAGGGCUAGGGAUUAUCUGUGGGUUUCAUUUAUCUGCCUUAUCUCAAUUUCUGGCCUACAUUCUAAAUUUGUUCCUCCUGCCCCCAAGAAAAGAUGAAAUGCAUGACAAUUCCAUACCUUUGGCCUCUCCUCUUCUGCCCUUAACCUCUGAAAAUGAAAAGAAUUAAAGAAAAAAAAAAAAC